AUACGGAGGAUGCAAGCGUUAUCCGGAUUUAUUGGGUUUAAAGGGUGCGUAGGCGGUUUGCUAAGCGGGAGGUGAAAUGCCGGCGCUCAACGUCGGAAGUGCCUCCCGAACUGGUGGACUUGAAUGACUCUGCCGUGGGAGGAAUGUGUAGUGUAGCGGUGAAAUGCUUAGAGAUUACACAGAACACCGAUUGCGAAGGCAUCUCACGAAGGGUUGAUUGACGCUGAGGCACGAAAGCGUGGGGAUCAAACAGGAUUAGAUACCCUGGUAGUCCACGCUGUAAACGAUGAUUACUGGUUGUUAGCGAUAUAUAGCUAGUGACUGAGCGAAAGCAUUAAGUAAUCCACCUGGGGAGUACGUUCGCAAGAAUGAAACUCAAAGGAAUUGACGGGG
rnacentral:rRNA from 1 species